rnacentral:rRNA from 1 species
AACGAACGCUGGCGGCAGGCCUAAUACAUGCAAGUCGAACGCCCCGCAAGGGGAGUGGCGCACGGGUGAGUAACGCGUGGGAAUGUGCCCUUAGGUGCGGAACAACGUUUGGAAACGAACGCUAAUACCGCAUAAUAUCUCCGGAUCAAAGAUUUAUCGCCUAGGGAUCAGCCCGCGUUGGAUUAGCUAGUUGGUGGGGUAACGGCCUACCAAGGCGACGAUCCAUAGCUGGUCUGAGAGGAUGAUCAGCCACACUGGGACUGAGACACGGCCCAGACUCCUACGGGAGGCAGCAGUAAGGAAUAUUGGACAAUGGGGGCAACCCUGAUCCAGCCAUGCCGCGUGAGUGAUGAAGGCCUUCGGGUUGUAAAGCUCUUUUAGGUGUGACGAUGAUGACGGUACACCAGAAAAAGCUCCGGCUAACUUCGUGCCAGCCGCCGCGGUAAAAC